CUAGGCCAAACCCGCACGCAGCCCUGCCCAUUAACGGCUCCACAAUAGCCGGGGACGAUAAGGAAUGUGUUCCGAUAAC
rnacentral:tRNA from 1 species